GGCUUGUUGGUCAAGGGGUAAGAUACUCGUUUAGGGUGCAAGAGGUACCAGGUUCAAAUCCCUAAUGAGCCC